rnacentral:rRNA from 1 species
AUUGAACGCUGGCGGCAGGCCUAACACAUGCAAGUCGAGCGGAUGAAGGGAGCUUGCUCCUGGAUUCAGCGGCGGACGGGUGAGUAAUGCCUAGGAAUCUGCCUGGUAGUGGGGGAUAACGUCCGGAAACGGGCGCUAAUACCGCAUACGUCCUGAGGGAGAAAGUGGGGGAUCUUCGGACCUCAUGCUAUCAGAUGAGCCUAGGUCGGAUUAGCUAGUUGGUGGGGUAAAGGCCUACCAAGGCGACGAUCCGUAACUGGUCUGAGAGGAUGAUCAGUCACACUGGAACUGAGACACGGUCCAGACUCCUACGGGAGGCAGCAGUGGGGAAUAUUGGACAAUGGGCGAUAGCCUGAUCCAGCCAUGCCGCGUGUGUGAAGAAGGUCUUCGGAUUGUAAAGCACUUUAAGUUGGGAGGAGGGGCAGUAAGUUAAUACCUUGCUGUUUUGACGUUACCAACAGAAUAAGCACCGGCUAACUUCGUG